UACAGAGGUCCCGAGCGUUGUUCGGAUUCACUGGGCGUAAAGGGUGCGUAGGUGGUGAGGUAAGUCGGAUGUGAAAUCUCCGAGCUCAACUCGGAAAUGGCAUUGGAAACUACCUUGCUAGAGGGUUGGAGGGGGGACUGGAAUACUUGGUGUAGCAGUGAAAUGCGUAGAUAUCAAGUGGAACACCAGUGGCGAAGGCGGCUUCCUGGUCCAGCACCGACGUUCAGGCAUGAAAGCGUGGGGAGCAAACAGG
rnacentral:rRNA from 1 species